GGUGUCCUGGAGUGAGGAAAUAUAGCCACCUGACACACCACAUGUAGAUACCCUGGUCAACAGUCUCUGCUAAGCCAGACUUCGAGUUACAGGUUCCUGGCACAGAGUUCCUAAAACCCUUGUAAUUUCCUGACUAGUAAGGAUGAGAAGAGCACUUUUCAACCAUAACUGAAUUUCUGCGAAUGAGGUAACUCGCAGAAGGUAGGGGCAGGUUGCCAGGAACCCACCAUGUGAUUAGAGAGCUGGAACUUUCAGCACCACCCCCGACCUCCUGGAAGAAAGGCUGAAGGUUGAGUUAAUCACGAAUGGGCAAUGAAUUAAUUAUACCUAUGUGAUUCAUGCCUAUAUAAUGAAGCCCCCAUUAAAAGAAGAAACAAAACAAAAACCUAAAGAAAGGGAUUUGGGGAGCUCCCAUGUUGCUGAACACAUUGAGGGGCUGGGAGAGCGGUGCACGCACAGAAGAGCAGGGAAACAGCCCCUUCCCACAUACCUCGUCCUCUGCAUCUCUUCCAUCUGGCUGUUCCUGAACUAUAAUCUUAUAAUAAACAGAAACUGAAACCCAGAAAGGUGAUUUGGGCACCAGUACACAACUGCCUCCUGAAUCGGAGCCCAGAUCACCCCAUUUCCCAGUGAAACAGCAUACUUCCUGAAGACAGGAGUAUUGAGAGGCCGUCCAGGAGCGUGGAGCAGAGAUGGAAAGUAAC